rnacentral:rRNA from 1 species
GAUGAACGCUAGCGGCAGGCCUAACACAUGCAAGUCGAGGGGGAGGUUACUUUCGGGUAACUGAGACCGGCGUACGGGUGCGUAACGCGUAUACAAUCUGCCUUUCACUGGGGGAUAGCCCGAAGAAAUUUGGAUUAAUACCCCAUAGUAUAGUAAUACGGCAUCGUGAUGCUAUUAAAGCUUAGGUGGUGAAAGAUGAGUAUGCGUUCUAUUAGCUAGUUGGAGAGGUAACGGCUCCCCAAGGCGAUGAUAGAUAGGGGUUCUGAGAGGGAUGUCCCCCACACUGGUACUGAGAUACGGACCAGACUCCUACGGGAGGCAGCAGUGAGGAAUAUUGGACAAUGGUCGGAAGACUGAUCCAGCCAUGCCGCGUGCAGGAUGAAGGUCUCAUGGAUUGUAAACUGCUUUUGUAAGGGAAGAAUAAGGGCUACGCGUAGUUUGAUGACGGUACCUUACGAAUAAGCAUCGGCUAACUCCGUG